GAUGAACGCUGGCGGCGUGCUUAACACAUGCAAGUCGAACGGAAAGGCCCAAGCUUGCUUGGGUACUCGAGUGGCGAACGGGUGAGUAACACGUGGGUGAUCUGCCCUGCACUUCGGGAUAAGCCUGGGAAACUGGGUCUAAUACCGGAUAGGACCACUUCGUAGUUGUUGUGGUGGAAAGUUUUUUCGGUGUGGGAUGAGCUCGCGGCCUAUCAGCUUGUUGGUGGGGUAAUGGCCUACCAAGGCGUCGACGGGUAGCCGGCCUGAGAGGGUGUACGGCCACAUUAGGACGGAGAUGCGGACCCUACUCCUACGGGAAGCAGCGGUGAGGAAUAUUGCACAAUGGGCGGAAGCCUGAUGCAGCGACGCGGCGUGGAGGAUGGCGGCCUUCGGGUAGUAAGCUCCUUUCGCCAAAGACGAGUUUAGGACGGUAUUUGGAGAAGAAGCACCGGCUAACUACGUG
rnacentral:rRNA from 1 species